rnacentral:rRNA from 1 species
GAUGAACGCUAGCGGCAGGCUUAACACAUGCAAGUCGAGGGGUAACAUGAUAGCUUGCUAUUGAUGACGACCGGCGCACGGGUGCGUAACGCGUAUACAAUCUGCCUUGUACUGAGGGAUAGCCCAGAGAAAUUUGGAUUAAUACCUCAUAAUAUUAUUGAGUGGCAUCGUUUGAUAAUUAAAGGUUACGGUACAAGAUGAGUAUGCGUCCUAUUAGUUAGUUGGUAAGGUAACGGCUUACCAAGGCUACGAUAGGUAGGGGUCCUGAGAGGGAGAUCCCCCACACUGGUACUGAGACACGGACCAGACUCCUACGGGAGGCAGCAGUGAGGAAUAUUGGACAAUGGGCGCAAGCCUGAUCCAGCCAUGCCGCGUGCAGGAAGACUGCCCUAUGGGUUGUAAACUGCUUUUAUAUAGGAAGAAUAUGCUCUACGUGUAGGGUAUUGACGGUACUAUACGAAUAAGCACCGGCUAACUCCG